UUUGGAGGCUAACGACACGCAAGUGAUAAAGCAAAUGAGCGUUUUAAUGAUGACAAAUAGAGGAGGACAUGCAGCGUUGAUGGGGGAACAUGGCUUCCAGCAAGGAGGAAGAUUUACGGGAGCUAAUUACGGUACAUCAGAUUUAUGGUGGAAAAGCAGAAAGAGGAAAAACUUGGGGAAGAACUUGUGUGUGUCACCCGGGAACAACCGUUUCCCUUCAGACAAAUGAUGUAACAGCAGCUCAACGCACGCUCCCAGGUGGCCUUUUUAUGCCUUUGGCACUGACGUGUGUGCAAAGCCUGAGGCGUGCGUGAGUCUGUGGAAGUUAAAUAGACCCAAAUUAGUUACAGGGAAAACACAGAUUUGUAGCCGCCAUGAAAGAAUGCCAACAAUUAGCGCUUAGAUUGGUGUUCAAUAUACUUGGUGUUCAACAUACACGUGCGUUUUUAAUUAAUCGUGUGGGGCAAACCCAGCAGGGUGCUGCCCUCCCACCUCAAAGAGAUCUCAGCGGGGGCUUCGCAUUUAUCAGCGGCAAUCAGAACUCGGCGCAGCAGCCUGGAAAUUUGUUAACAGAAGCCACGAGGACAAACGUGAGAAAACCGGCACUUCAGCCCUCAGGUCCGACAGGUGCCAAAGAGAACUCACGUGGCUUAAAGACCCCUUUAGGCCGGAGCAGCCGGCGCUGUACGAGAAGUUUGAGAAGCGAGGGGGAAACCCGCAGCCCGUCCGCACACAAACGCCCACGAGCGAACCUCCCCACAGCGCCCGCAGCUCCCUUCGCCCCAAGACGCGCCCCGAAAUGGCGGCGCUGCGGCCGGGAUAAGGGGGUCCGCUUGGAGCCGCCCCUCCGCCCGGGCCUCCCCGCACAGUCACGGAAGGCGCCGGGCCGGGCGGAGCCGCCUUAGCUCACCUGGGCCCCGCGCGAACGGCGACGCCGCAGCCCUCCGGCGGCGGCAGGACAGCGGUGCCCGCGGCCGGCAGCGCCCGGGAGGCGACGGAGAGCGACCCGGGCGGCAGCGGCCCAUUCGCGGAGCCAAGCUGCGGACACCUGCGGGCCGCCCGCCCCGCUCCUCCCCGCCGGGCCCGGCCACGCCCGGGGCUGAGGGUGAGGCGCGGGCGGCAGCGCCGCAGGGGGAGGCGGCAUUGGGCGCGGCGCUGAGGUGAAGGGCGGCGGCGGGGCAGGCCGGGGCUGGAGGACGGCUUCUGGGCCGAGUCCGAACUGGUCGGAAGAACGGACAGAAGUGGCACCUGUGGGGGUAGUUUCCCGCCUCGGACUGAAUCUGUUUCAGUAUUUUCUCUCUGGCUUCAGUUUCAGCACGAGCACCUUUUUGUCCCUCUGGCGUAAGUCUGGGGACUGUGGUUUUGCGUAGAAAACACGAGGAUUGCCUGCAAGCAGAGAACAAGUAGCAUGCUGCAUUGCUUUGCUGUUCGAGGUGAAAGUGUUGGAAUGAGCAUGCUUUGCUUUUGUAUGACACUGGUAAGGGAAGCUGAAGUGAACAUGGAAAGCUGGCAUAGGCUCCGUGUCAAUGAGACAUGGAAUCAUUCAGGUUGGAAAAGAGCCCUCAGGCCAUCGAGUUCAACCUCCAGCUACCCCCACUGUGCCCCCUGACCACAUCCCUCAGUGCCACAUCCACACGGUUCUGGAACACCUCCAGGGACCGUGACUGCACCACCUCCCUGGGCAGCCUGUGCCACUGCAUCACUGCUCUUUCUGAGGAGAAAAAUUUUCCUAAUAUCCAACCUGAUAUCAUUUCAGAAUUACUUCUAGAGCAGCCACCGCAGGCCUAGAGAGAAAUUCAAUUAUCCAUUUUACUUCUGUUGAGUUGUACUACUUUUAAAACUUGCAAGCCAUCCUGUCAACAGUAAUUUUCAAAAAGACUGUGUGCAGGAAGGCAUAUCUGUCUAAAACAAACUUGCAAGGCUGUACUGCAGCUCUGACAACAACGGUUUUUGCUUUGUGUGCUCUAUAAUUGCUUGGGUGUAGGCUCCGUUCAAGAUAAAAAUGUUUGCCCUUCCCCAUCAGGAAAUAAAAUAAAAUAAAAAUACAUGUGGGAGAGCCUAGAGAAAAGUUAAAUUACAAUUUACUAGAGAGUCAGGUGAAAACUGUUGGAUGGAGACAUCCUUUCAGGCUAUGUCGUAUACAUCAUACUUUAAUUGUAAUAAACUUUGUUUCCUCAGAGUUUAUGAAUAUAACAGCUGACCCUUGUCAUGAAAAGAGAAUGUAUGUUUCAGCACAGUCAAACCAAGUCCAUCUCAUCAAGCUGUUUUUCUUCUUUGUGGAAAGCAUCCAAUGCAUAAAAUCAACUGUGAAAUAUUUUUCCACGUGUUUAGCCAUCUCCUUAAUACUGGUGACUGCUGAAACAUCUUCUGUGGCUGAGUAAGAAUCCCCCGAAUGAAGAAUCAGGACCUGCAAACCAAAACCGGGCCACCUAUACUGAAGAAGAUGGAUGUGCCAUGCAACACAAAAGUACAUGAGCUGGGAGGGGAAGGAAAGGAAGCUAUCCAUACCAAUUUCUUCCCAUUGAACAA